CAGGGCGAGGGCUGGCAACCGCCGGCAGGAGGGAGAUGCGCGCACACACCAGUGCGGAGAUAGAGGGAGGAUGAAUGGAUGGAGCGAUGCACAGAGCCGAGAGGAGUGCCUCUUGCCAAGCCGCCCCCUCCCCUCCAUGUGACGCAGAUGUGCUCUGGGGCCAUCAGUGUGAAUAGACACAGGGAAAGGGAUGCUUCAGUCAUCCUCACACAAUUUUUCAGAAUUUCUUAUCUUCAUGUUUCCCUGCAAGCGCUUUUGACAUUUGCCAGUGAGGCAAAGGACAUCUUCUAGACUACUGCAUGACAAGUAAGUUACUGAUGUGUCCUUCCCCAUACCCCAACAAGAAUUGGUGGAUUGGAAGUACUGAUAGAUUGUUGUAUUAUCAAUUGCUCAAAUAGGCAGCAGAUUCUAAACAGAAGAAACUUAGUAUAAUGUAAUCUGCUAACAAUAGAGUUAAGGUUCUAAAUAGUUAUCUCUGUCUGCACAUUCAACAUGAAGUCCAAACACAAGUCUGAAGGUGAUGAGUGGUGAUGCUUAUCAUUGUGCACUAAUCAUUAUUAUGAGGGCUGCUCUGAAAUCAGCAUCUCCUAUUUGGUUAUGUUGGCCCAGAACCUCAGAUGGGAGUGUUGAUGGCCCUAGCUGAACUUCCUGCCAAUAUCCCAGUAUGUUUGGUUGCCCUGUGACAAAUGGCAGCAGAGGGGAAGUCUGACAAAAUGGCAUCUGACAAGGAACUGCAUGUGAACUAAAAAUGUGUCAGCUAAUUCUCCCCGUGUGGAAAAUACUGCACCCAUUGACAUUCAUCAGCAUUUGCUGAAUGUUUGUGGAGACCAAACAAUGGAUGUUGGCACAGUGAGGCCGUGGAUGAUGUGUUUCUGCAGUGGCGACAGCAACAGUGGCAUAGCUCUGUUGGUGAAGACUUUUAUUAGUGUGACAUGCAGGUACUUGUUCAUCUGUGGUAAAAAUGCAUAGCUAAUGGCUGUGGCUGUUGAAAAACUGUGUUUUGUAGCUGAGAAUUUGCUCUAUCAAAUAGUGUUAUUGUAUCUGUUGUAGUUUCCAUGAAAAUAAAUAGGAGGCAUUACUUUCAGAGCGGCAUACAUAAUAAGAGUAAUCAUGAUUAAUAAGAGAAAGGAUAGAAAGGAUGUAGCUGUCAGCAAAAUAAAAGCAUUAAGGGUAAUUUUAUGAUUUAAUUUUAACUUGUCAUGUAGUUAUAAUCCAGAAGAGAGUAGAUCUUGCUGAACAAAAAGCAGAAAAAGGAGAAGUUACUGUGCUUAGAAUAAUGAUAGUAGAAUGAGCAGUUUUAAAAUAGUUCUCACUUGAAUGUGAGAAUUCUCACAUGAAUGAAUGAGCAUGUACUUCAGUUAUAAAGAUGCUGAUUUUGUAGGUGGUUAAUCAUGCAUUCAGGAGCAAGAAGUGUUAAAGUCUUAGAGUGUUAAAAAGUUGCUAUGAAAACAUACCUAUAAGAAUACUCAAGCUAAAGAAAUUGAUGGGACUGGAUGUCCACCAAGAGGUCCAGAUUUUCUGAAAAAAAUGGGAGUAUCAUGCAUGAUAAAAACAUAUUGUAUUACACUUAUUUUUAAAACUUCUGUCAUGUAUAAAGCUUUAUGAAAUUCUGAAUCAGUAUAGAUAAUAAAAAUGCAGAACUGGGUAAAGAUGACAGUAAUGAAUACCUAAGCAAUUGUGCAUAAUGUAUCCCUAUAAUGCUUUGAAGUUGUUGAUCUGAUUUUCUUCUCAAAAUACUGUAAAUAUUUCAACAGAAAUGACUAAACCAAGGCAAGACAGCCACGCUUAGUGACUAUGAUUGUUUUCUAAUGGAAAGAAAGAACAAAACUAGAAAAAUGGUAAGCAAGAACAUAUAAACUCUUGUGUGUGUUUUAUCCAUAGUGAGUUUUCAACUGAGAUUUCAUUUCAGAAAAUGAGUUUGUUUUCAAAUAAGUUUAAAAGUUACAUCAUGUUAUUUCACAAACUUAACAGGAGUUAGGAUUGUACAGGAUAGACGUCUAGCUGUGGUCACAUGACCAGCUACAAUCGUUUCAGAGAGUAGCAAGAAUUUUCAAGGCCGUGUUGGAUGAGGCUCUGGGCAGUCUGAUCUAGUAGCUAGCAACUCUGCCCAUGGAAGGGGGUUGGAAUUAAAUGAUCUUUAAAGUUCCUUCUUCCCCUGCUAUGGGAAGAGCUGCCAGCCACUAGAUCAGUCUGCUUGUGGUUCUAUGAUUCUGAGUCGUUCUAUGAUUCUGUUUUGUUCUCUGAAGUUACUUAACUGCCCCCUUAGUAGUGCUGGGUAAAAAAAAAUGAUUAAUUAAGUGAUGAUUUGAACAGACAUUUUAUUCUUUACCUCAUGAGCCUAGACAAACACUGCAAGUUACCGUGUACUGAGGAACAGAUGCUUCUUAAAGUUGUAGAAACACAUUGUAAAAAAGCAAUUUCUAUAGUCAAAAAAAUUCACUUAGGAAGAGUAAACGCUACAUGAUUUGUCAAGGAUAAAAAAAUUACAAGUAAACUAUGUCUUGAAAACAUAGCAGUGUAAAAUAGUGGAAAUAAUGUUAGAAUUAUUUUUUUCUUACUUUUUUUUACUUCUAUUACUUUUAGUGGCUUUAAGACAUUGUCCUUCAAGUGAAAUCAAAAAUAUUGAGGUUCUUCAAUUCCAAAAUUAGUUCCCAUAGUUUCUCUGUGAUAAUUAUCACUUUAGUGAGGGAUGCCUAGUUUGUGCAUGCCUACAAACAAUUCCCUAGUGCAGGUUUAACAGAGCUUGCACCUUUGCGCUUCUAUGUCUUACUCCACCAUUUGGAAGUCAUUUGUCUGUACCAUUUGUUAAUCCACAUGGAAGUUCUUACUGUCAAUUAUAUGUGAUAGCAUUUCAGUAUCUUUGUAAAAUUAGUACAUAAUCUUUAUUUCAAUCUUGCAUGUUUGAUAUUGCAUCUGUGCGCCAUCAACUGAAAUUCUGGUGAUACAAACAAAAUGUUUUUUUCUUAGCUAGCUUCAGGAAAUGGCUGUAUAUUUUUCUUUGACUCUGAACUCUAAGAAGGGACUUGCUUUCAUGUUCUGUUCAAAAAAGGUGCAGUUCCUGCUGAUCAUUUAUUUAACAUCUAUUUACAAUCUGAAGUAAAAACUUCUGAAAUUACAUAUUAGAAUAUAACAAUAAUAAAGUUUGAAAAUAGAAUAAAAAGUGAAAAAUAAAUUAAUAAUAAUAAUCAUUAGAGUUUACCACUACACAUGUAUCAAUAAAUUAAUUUAGAAUUAACUAGAUUAAACAGAGCCAAUGGAUGUGGCAUAAGAUGGCCAAUACUGUUAAGGCAUUAUCACAUAUACUGAAACGCUGAAAUGUUUUUUGCAGACUAUAAUUCUCAGAAACUAGUGCAGGAAUUAGCAUAGGAAACACACUCAAAAGGCACUUUAGAUAUAGUCAGAGUUUUAGAGUGUAAGAGCAGUUAGCCAUAUGGAGGUAAAUUGUGCCGUGCUUCUUGGCCUGAGUCCCAGAGACUGAGCAGAGCAGAAAACAGGCAUUGGGAGAUUUUAUUUACUGUUUUAGAUGUGACCUUAUGAUACUUACAUUUCUGCUUAAAGGUUCCUGUGAAGUAAAGAAGAAAAAUACGUUUUCAUGGGUUUUCACCCUUGAGAACCUUUCAGCAUUUGACAGAAAAUGAACGAUUUCUAGAGUUCUCUUAAGAAAUUCGGUAAGAAUAAAAGCAAAUUUGUAAAGCUGUAUCAUCAGGGAAGUUGUCUUUUGAGCAACUUUCCAAGCUGGUAUGGCUUUCAAGGUGCGGGCGUCUGAAUAAUCAACAGUCUUAAUGUCAGAAGAUACUGGGAUGUAAUGUGAAUUCAACAGUCACUGAAUACAAAAUGAAGAAGUUGAUUGGUUGAGCUAAAUAACAAACAGGAUUUCUGAUAUUUACCCACAACUGAUACUAGUUAUUUUAUAAUGUUUCUCUGUGCUUAUUUUAUUUUUAAAUUAAUGUUUCUUUUUAUAAAUCUGAUUCAUAAACAUGGCGUUAUUUUACUUUUCAGAAUCUUGUCCGAUAGUAUUAUAUGCCUUCCAUAUGGCUUUAAGUCAGAGUAGAAAAGUAGAUAUGUAGAAAGUAAA